rnacentral:rRNA from 1 species
GACGAACGUUGGCGGCGUGCUUAACACAUGCAAGUCGAACGGAAAGGCCCUGCUUUUGUGGGGUGCUCGAGUGGCGAACGGGUGAGUAACACGUGAGUAACCUGCCCUUGACUUUGGGAUAACUUCAGGAAACUGGGGCUAAUACCGGAUAGGAGCUCCUGCUGCAUGGUGGGGGUUGGAAAGUUUCGGCGGUUGGGGAUGGACUCGCGGCUUAUCAGCUUGUUGGUGGGGUAGUGGCUUACCAAGGCUUUGACGGGUAGCCGGCCUGAGAGGGUGACCGGCCACAUUGGGACUGAGAUACGGCCCAGACUCCUACGGGAGGCAGCAGUGGGGAAUAUUGCACAAUGGGCGGAAGCCUGAUGCAGCAACGCCGCGUGCGGGAUGACGGCCUUCGGGUUGUAAACCGCUUUCGCCUGUGACGAAGCGUGAGUGACGGUAAUGGGUAAAGAAGCACCGGCUAACUACGUGCCAGCAGCCGCGGUGAUACGUAGGGUGCGAGCGUUGUCCGGAUUUAUUGGGCGUAAAGGGCUCGUAGGUGGUUGAUCGCGUCGGAAGUGUAAUCUUGGGGCUUAACCCUGAGCGUGCUUUCGAUACGGGUUGACUUGAGGAAGGUAGGGGAGAAUGGAAUUCCUGGUGGAGCGGUGGAAUGCGCAGAUAUCAGGAGGAACACCAGUGGCGAAGGCGGUUCUCUGGGCCUUUCCUGACGCUGAGGAGCGAAAGCGUGGGGAGCGAACAGGCUUAGAUACCCUGGUAGUCCACGCUGUAAACGGUGGGUACUAGGUGUGGGGUCCAUUCCACGGGUUCCGUGCCGUAGCUAACGCUUUAAGUACCCCGCCUGGGGAGUACGGCCGCAAGGCUAAAACUCAAAGGAAUUGACGGGGCCCCGCACAAGCGGCGGAGCAUGCGGAUUAAUUCGAUGCAACGCGUAGAACCUUACCUGGGUUUGACAUGGAUCGGGAGUGCUCAGAGAUGGGUGUGCCUCUUUUGGGGUCGGUUCACAGGUGGUGCAUGGCUGUCGUCAGCUCGUGUCGUGAGAUGUUGGGUUAAGUCCCGCAACGAGCGCAACCCUUGUUCACUGUUGCCAGCACGUUAUGGUGGGGACUCAGUGGAGACCGCCGGGGUCAACUCGGAGGAAGGUGGGGAUGACGUCAAGUCAUCAUGCCCCUUAUGUCCAGGGCUUCACGCAUGCUACAAUGGCUGGUACAGAGAGUGGCGAGCCUGUGAGGGUGAGCGAAUCUCGGAAAGCCGGUCUCAGUUCGGAUUGGGGUCUGCAACUCGACCUCAUGAAGUCGGAGUCGCUAGUAAUCGCAGAUCAGCAACGCUGCGGUGAAUACGUUCCCGGGGC